GCAAAGGUAUCUUUCUGCUUGUUAAACGUCUGUGACGUUUGUUGUCUUUUAGAAAAGGUAUCUUAGAAGAUGGUAAUGUGGUUGCCGAUGAUUCUGAAUAAAUACAGCUUUUAUCCCAGGUGUGCCAUUCUGAAGACUGAGACAAUAGAGUUUUUAAGAAUAAAAGAGAACCCUUGGGAAAUUCUGUAUUGUAUAUAUCAAAAAUAUGAAUCCUGAGGUGGAAUGAAAGGCGUGUAUACUAUAGACAUCGAAGCAUUUACACCCAGCUUGAAGAGUUUGAAAUGGACUUUACCACUGAGAAAUCAAGUUGGCAGCCCAUUAUGGGAAUUGAGGAAAAUGGAUUAAUGCAAGAAUGCUGUGAUAUUACACAACCAACACAGGAUUCUUUUAAUAUGGAUGCCAUGAAAUGAAUGAUUCUUACCCAACACAAAUGGGACAGUGGAAUUUACUUCCUAAAGACUUGUUUCGUAUCAUGUACAUUUUUGACAUCUGGAGAAGAUGCCUACAUUUCUACAAAUGGUAGUUGUAUUCCUGUAGAUUCUUGCCGUUGCUCUGAGUGACCUUAUGGAAUGUUAACUUUAAUAAAAUCUAAAACUUAAAAAAUUCUCAGUUUGGGCCUUUUAUAAAACUUUUUUUCACCGUGGAUGUUUUCAUUAAAUGUUUCAUUAAAGGUGAAAGAAAACCUUGAUGACAUUUUGACCUUUAUAGUUGCUUUUCAUUAAAAUAUACUGAAUAAAGCUGGUAAAAUGGAAUGGUUUUGUUUGUUUGGGAUUUAUGUGUAUUAGAAAACCUGGGUUUUCCUGUGCUUAAGUGGAAUGGUCCUUUGGUUAAAAUAGAUAUAUUCUCUCUUUCUCCCCCUCCUUCCCCUUUCUUCUUUUUCUUUUCUUUUUUCUUUUCCAGGACAGGGUUUCUCAGUGUAUCCCUGACUGUCCUGGCGUUCAGUCUGUAGACCAGCCUGGCUGGAAAUUUGCAGUGAUUUACCUGCCUCUGCCUCCUGAGUGCUAGGAUUAAAGCUGUAUACAACCACACCCAAUUUGGUGGUUUUUUUAUUAUAAGGUUUAAAUAAAUUCUUUGUUUGGGCGUUUUCAAAGUAUUUUGCAUUUUAAUCAGUGAGUAAUGGUAACCUAGUUAAUUUAUAUAAAAAGUACUUGUUGCCUGUACAGUCCAAGACAGUCUCAGAGUCUUUCAAUUUUUGUUGAGUGGUCCUUUGACCUUUGUAUAAAACCUCUUGCAAUGAAAUGCUCAUCUGAAUAUGUGAGUUAUACUGAUUUGUAUUGUCUUACAUUAGAGAGGUGUAUUUGUAAGUUCUUUGGGUAUACAUUAAAGGGCUUACUCUCACAGUAUUAAUUUACAUUUGACAAAAAUCAUUUUUUUUCUUGUUUCGGGCAGUUGGGAGUUUAAAUGAAUCAUACCAUGCUUUGGAUUGGUUACCCAUGGUUGAAAUCAAAUACCAGGUUUUCAUUUAUUGCUACUUUGGUAAGGAAUAUAAUAAAACAGUAAUGGGGAUUUGGUUGACCAAAUGAUGACUGAUGUUUUUUCAUUACAGAAAACAGAAUAAAAUAAUCUAUUAAUGUAAAAUACCUUCGAAUACACAUGUAUAGUUAAUAUAGAUGCAGUGUUUCUUUGAGUGAUGUGAGGUGGUUGGUCGUUUGAGUUUGAUGUAAAAAUAUCUGUAGAAUUGAAACUUGAUUAUGGAUUUUACGUUUACUUAGAUUUAACAUAAUUGGUUUUGGUUGUAAAACUAAAAUGGAUUACCGCAUUGAUGGAGUGACAUGGUUUUGACCAAUAGGGUUCAGUAAAGGAAUGUUUUGAGUUUUGGGCGUGUGCGUGGUUGGUUUCUUGUCUGCAUGGGAGAGAACACGUGGUUGCAUUUGUGAUUUUGUUUCUGUAGGCCUUGUGCUUCCAUCAUGAGGGAGUUUGUCUUUGACAGUUGAUGAUUGACUGGUAGAUGUGGUCUAGCAUUGUAAGUGAGCUGUGGUUAAUGAAAUGUGAGUGUCCCUAGAAUUUGAUUUGAAACAUAAGUCAAGGGUUCUUUGGUUUUGGAGUUGAGGUUGAGUGUUUGAUUUAAUGGUGACCAAUGUUGGAAUAUAUUCUUGAAUUUGAAGUUAUUAAUUUUGCCCAAAUAUAUAUAAGAAGUAACUGUGUUUGAUGUAUGGCAUUUCCAAGGUUAAUAGUUUACAAAGAAUUUUGUUUCUUCUGGGGGGAAAAUGGUUGAACUAACUUUUGCUCUACUGCAUUUGAACACUAGGGAGGCGCUCUUGAGUUGCACAAGAAAUUACCCCUUCCAGUUGAAGUGGAAAAUUCCCCCUUAAUCUUUAUUUGUUUUUAGGCACUAUAAAGAAGGCAAGAGUUGAGUUUAAUUUAUGGUGUUGAAAUGUUGCUUCUAUAUACAAGCCAUUUUACCCAUGGGGGUAUUAAUAUUUUUAAAGAUUAAUACUUAAACUGAGUUUUAGAUUCUCUAAAAAUUAUCUUUAUUUCAAAAUGGCUUGAUAAAACUCUACUUCCUGUCCAGGGAGGAAGUUAUUUUAGCUCAAGGACUGAAAUAUUUAGCAGAUCUUUAGACAAAAGGAACAAAUUACAUUUCUCUCUGGCUUAAAAAGGGUGCUUGAGCCAGAGGGGGUUAAGAAGCCCUUCCCCCUCCCCCUGAUGGAGUGGUCUGGAGGGGCAGGGAGGUGUGGAGUUGGGGGUCUUCA
rnacentral:lncRNA from 1 species